UACGGAGGAUGCGAGCGUUAUCCGGAUUUAUUGGGUCUAAAGGGUGCGCAGGCGGAUUUUUAAGUCAGCGGUCAAAUCGUGGGGCUCAACCCCAUCCAGCUGUUGAAACUGGGGAUCUAGAGUGUGCGAGAGGUAUGCGGAAUGCGUGGUGUAGCGGUGAAAUGCAUAGAUAUCACGCAGAACCCCGAUUGCGAAGGCAGCAUACCGGUGCACAACUGACGCUCAGGCACGAAAGCGUGGGUAUCGAACAGG
rnacentral:rRNA from 1 species